GACGAACGCUGGCGGCGUGCCUAAUACAUGCAAGUAGAACGCACAGUUUAUACCGUAGCUUGCUACACCAUAGACUGUGAGUUGCGAACGGGUGAGUAACGCGUAGGUAACCUGCCUGGUAGCGGGGGAUAACUAUUGGAAACGAUAGCUAAUACCGCAUAAUAUUAAUUAUUGCAUGAUAAUUAAUUGAAAGGUGCAAUUGCACCACUACCAGAUGGACCUGCGUUGUAUUAGCUAGUAGGUGAGGUAACGGCUCACCUAGGCGACGAUACAUAGCCGACCUGAGAGGGUGAUCGGCCACACUGGGACUGAGACACGGCCCAGACUCCUACGGGAGGCAGCAGUAGGGAAUCUUCGACAAUGGACGAAAGUCUGACCGAGCAACGCCGCGUGAGUGAAGAAGGUUUUCGGAUCGUAAAGCUCUGUUGUAAGAGAAGAACGGGUGUGAGAGUGGAAAGUUCACACUGUGACGGUAUCUUACCAGAAAGGGGCGGCUAACUACGUG
rnacentral:rRNA from 1 species